rnacentral:rRNA from 1 species
UACGUAGGGUGCGAGCGUUGUCCGGAAUUAUUGGGCGUAAAGAGCUUGUAGGCGGUUUGUCGCGUCUGCUGUGAAAAUCCGGGGCUCAACCCCGGACUUGCAGUGGGUACGGGCAGACUAGAGUGUGGUAGGGGAGACUGGAAUUCCUGGUGUAGCGGUGAAAUGCGCAGAUAUCAGGAGGAACACCGAUGGCGAAGGCAGGUCUCUGGG